rnacentral:rRNA from 1 species
CCGUAGCCGGCCCGUAAAGUCACCGUUUAAAGACCCCGAGCUCAACUCGGGGAGUGGCGGUGAUACUUACGGGCUAGGGGGGCGGGGAAAGGUCGGAGGUACUCCCGGAGUAGGGGCGAAAUCCUCAGAUCCCCGGGAGGGACCACCAGUGGCGAAAGCGUCCGGCUAGAACGCGCCCGACGGUGAGGGGCGAAAGCCGGGGUAGCAAAAGGGAUUAGAUACCCCUGUAGUCCCGGCUGUAAACGAUGCGGGUUAGGUGUCGCGUGGGCUUUGAGCCCAUGCGGUGCCGCAGGAAAACUGGUAAGCCCGCCGCCUGGGGAGUACGGCCGCAAGGCUGAAACUUAAAGGAAUUGGCGGGGGAGCACCACAAGGGGUGGAACCUGCGGCUCAAUUGGAGUCAACGCCUGGAAUCUCACCGGGGGAGACCGCAGGAUGACGGCCAGGCUGACGACCUUGCCAGACUCGCGGAGAGGAGGUGCAUGGCCGUCGCCAGCUCGUGUUGUGAAAUGUCCGGUUAAGUCCGGCAACGAGCGAGACCCCCACUUCUAGUUGGUAGCCGUCCCUCCGGGGAUGGCCCACACUAGAAGGACUGCCGGUGUUAAACCGGAGGAAGGAGGGGGCCACGGCAGGUCAGCAUGCCCCGAAACCUCCGGGCCGCACGCGGGUUACAAUGGCAGGGACAGCGGGAUCCGACCCCGAAAGGGGAAGU